rnacentral:rRNA from 1 species
GAUGAACGCUGGCGGCGUGCUUAAUACAUGCAAGUCGAGCGAAGCGCUUUAACGGAAUUCUCCGGAAGGAAGAUAAAGUGACUGAGCGGCGGACGGGUGAGUAACGCGUGGGUAACCUGCCUCAUACAGGGGGAUAACAGUUAGAAAUGGCUGCUAAUACCGCAUAAGCGCACAGGACCGCAUGGUCUGGUGUGAAAAACUCCGGUGGUAUGGGAUGGACCCGCGUUGGAUUAGGUAGUUGGUGGGGUAACGGCCUACCAAGCCGACGAUCUAUAGCCGGCCUGAGAGGGUGGACGGCCACAUUGGGACUGAGACACGGCCCAGACUCCUACGGGAGGCAGCAGUAGGGAAUAUUGCACAAUGGGGGAAACCCUGAUGCAGCGACGCCGCGUGAAGGAAGAAGUAUCUCGGUAUGUAAACUUCUAUCAGCAGGGAAGACAAUGACGG